rnacentral:rRNA from 1 species
AGAGUUUGAUCCUGGCUCAGAAUCAACGCUGGCGGCGUGCCUCAGACAUGCAAGUCGAACGCGAAAGUCCCCUUCGGGGGGCUAGUAGAGUGGCGCACGGGUGAGUAACACGUAGGUAAUCUACCUUCGGAUGGGGAAUAACAACCGGAAACGGUUGCUAAUACCGCAUAAUGCAGCGGCACCUAAUGGUGACAGUUGUUAAAGCGGGGGACUGAAAGGCCUCGCGUCUGAAGAGGAGCCUGCGGCGGAUUAGCUAGUUGGUAAGGUAAUGGCUUACCAAGGCGACAAUCCGUAGCCGGCCUGAGAGGGCGGUCGGCCACACUGACACUGACAUACGGGUCAGACUCCUACGGGAGGCAGCAGUCGGGAAUUUUGGGCAAUGGGCGAAAGCCUGACCCAGCAACGCCGCGUGAAGGAUGAAAUCCCUCGGGAUGUAAACUUCAUAAGAACGGGAAGAAUAAGUCCGUGCCAACACCACGGGUGAUGACGGUACCGUUAGUAAGCUCCGGCUAACUCCGUGCCAGCAGGCGCGGUAAUACGGGGGGAGCAAGCGUUGUUCGGAUUUACUGGGCGUAAAGGGCGCGUAGGCGGCCACCGCAAGUCAAUUGUGAAAUCUCCGGGCUUAACUCGGAAAGGUCAACUGAUACUGCGGGGCUAGAGUGCGGAAGGGGCAACUGGAAUUCUCGGUGUAGCGGUGAAAUGCGUAGAUAUCGAGAGGAACACCUGCGGCGAAGGCGGGUUGCUGGGCCGACACUGACGCUGAGGCGCGAAAGCUAGGGGAGCGAACGGGAUUAGAUACCCCGGUAGUCCUAGCCUUAAACGAUGAAUGCUUGGUGUCUGGGGUUAUAUAGUCCCCGGGUGCCGUCGCUAACGCUUUAAGCAUUCCGCCUGGGGAGUACGGUCGCAAGACUGAAACUCAAAGGAAUUGACGG